rnacentral:rRNA from 1 species
UACGUAGGGGGCGAGCGUUGUCCGAAGUUACUGGGCGUAAAGCGCGCGUAGGCGGUUUCUUAAGUCUGGGGUGAAAGGUUCAGCGCUCAACGCGAACAGUGCCUUGGAUACUGGGAGACUUGAGUCUGGGAGGGGGCAGUGGAAUUCCUGGUGUAGCGGUGAAAUGCGUAGAUAUCAGGAGGAACACCAAUGGCGAAGGCAGCUCGCUGGGACGGUACUGACGCUGAGGCGCGAAAGCGUGGGGAGCAAACAGG